AUGAUGUACACAAUAAUGGGUCCCUGUUUUAUUAUGUUUACUAGGAGGGAGAUUAUUUUGUAAAUGUGAUUUUAAAUGUAGUAGAAAUUCAGAUAAUGUCAGAGACUUGCUUUUUAACUUUAUAUAUUCCUAUAUAUUUAAUGUUAAUAUAUUCUAUAAUUCUAAGCAGUGGAGUACAUUUCUAGCUACUGUUGCAGCUCCAGCUGUCUGAUCUCGCAUUCUCGGAUCUGCAAACAAGUUUGAGACAUCAUGGUAAUUAUACAGAAUACAGUGUGAACAUGGACAAACAGAAAGAAAAAAAAAUUUACUUGCAAAACUUAAUUUUCUACUUUUGAAUGAUAUAAAUCUUACAGAUACCGGGAAGUAUAGUGGGACAUUCAUUUUUAUUUUCUGAUUAAAGUAACACAGCCAUGCUCUACAAGAUCACCUCUUGUGUUGCAUUUUAGUCAAAUUAACUUAGUAACCUACAU